rnacentral:rRNA from 1 species
UACGUAGGUGGCAAGCGUUGUCCGGAUUUAUUGGGUUUAAAGGGUGCGUAGGCGGUCUUUUAAGUCAGUGCUGAAAUACUCCAGCUUAACUGGAGGGGUGGCAUUGAUACUGGAAGACUUGAGUGCAGUCGAGGUAGGCGGAAUUGACGGUGUAGCGGUGAAAUGCUUAGAUAUCGUCAAGAACGCCGAUAGUGAAGACAGCUUACUAGGCUGCAACUGACGCUGAGGCACGAAAGUGUGGGGAUCAAACAGG